GACGAACGCUGGCGGCGUGCUUAACACAUGCAAGUCGAACGGAAAGUCCCUGCUUUUGUUGUGUGCUCUUUUUGCGAUCUUGUGUGUAACACUUGUGUAACCUGCCCUUUACUUUGGGAUAACUUCAGGAAACUUGUUCUAAUACCUUAUAGGAUCUCCUGCUUCAUUGUGGUGUUUGGUAAGUUUCGGCGGUUGGGGAUGGACUCGCGGCUUAUCAGCUUGUUUGUGGGGUAGUGGCUUACCAAGGCUUUGAAGGGUAGCCGGCCUGAGAGGGUGACCGGCAACAAUGGGACUGAGAUACGGCACAGAAUAGUACGGGAGGCAGGAGUGGGGAAUAUUGCACAAUGGGAGGAAGCAUGAGGAAGAAAAGCAGCGUGCGGGAAGAAGGGCUUAGGGUUGUAAACAGAUGUAGAAUGAGAAGAAGAGUGAGUGACGGUAAUGGGUAAAGAAGCAACGGCUAACUACGUG
rnacentral:rRNA from 1 species